rnacentral:rRNA from 1 species
UUUAUUGGAGAGUUUGAUCCUGGCUCAGGAUGAACGCUGGCGGCGUGCCUAAUACAUGCAAGUCGAGCGAACGGAUUAAGAGCUUGCUCUUAAGAAGUUAGCGGCGGACGGGUGAGUAACACGUGGGUAACCUGCCCAUAAGACUGGGAUAACUCCGGGAAACCGGGGCUAAUACCGGAUAACAUCUAGCACCGCAUGGUGCAAGAUUGAAAGGCGGCUUCGGCUGUCACUUAUGGAUGGACCCGCGUCGCAUUAGCUAGUUGGUGAGGUAACGGCUCACCAAGGCGACGAUGCGUAGCCGACCUGAGAGGGUGAUCGGCCACACUGGGACUGAGACACGGCCCAGACUCCUACGGGAGGCAGCAGUAGGGAAUCUUCCGCAAUGGACGAAAGUCUGACGGAGCAACGCCGCGUGAGCGAUGAAGGCCUUCGGGUCGUAAAGCUCUGUUGUUAGGGAAGAACAAGUGUGAGUUGAAUAAGCUCAUGCCUUGACGGUACCUAACCAGAAAGCCACGGCUAACUACGUGCCAGCAGCCGCGGUAAUACGUAGGUGGCAAGCGUUAUCCGGAAUUAUUGGGCGUAAAGCGCGCGCAGGCGGUUUCUUAAGUCUGAUGUGAAAGCCCACGGCUCAACCGUGGAGGGU